AUGUUAGAUACAUCGGGUUUAUCCAAGGCAUGGUGGGGGGAGGCUAUAUUGACGGCAUGUCAUGUCCUGAAUAAAGUUCCGACAAAGGAUAGUGAGAUCACUCCCUAUGAGAAAUGGGCAAAGAGAAGGACGACACUCUCGUACUUGCGCACUUGGGGCUGUUUGGCGAAAGUCAACGUGCCGAUCCCCAAAAAGCGUAAGCUUGGACAUAAGACCGUGGACUGCAUUAAUUUGGGCUACGCUAAGAACAGCGUUGGCUAUAGAUUUCUAGUAGUGAAAUCUGAGGUACUUGACCAGAAGAUCGGUACAAUUAUGGAGUCUAAGGAUGCUACAUUCUUUGAGGAUAUUUUUCCUAUGAGAGAUAUGCAAAGCACUUCUAGACAGGAAUCUGAGGAGACUCCUGAACCUGCCAUCCCUAUGGAAUAUUAUGAACAAACACAUGAUGAAAAUCCCGAGGAGGAUGACGAGGAAACCCUUGGUAGGGGCAAGAGACAAAGGACUGCAAAGACCUUUGGUGAUGAUUUCUUCGUGUACCUCGUGGAUGAUACUCCAACUUCUAUUUCAGAAGCGUAUGCCUCUCCAGAAGCUGACUACUGGAAGGAUGCGGUCCGUAGCGAGAUGGAUUCCAUUAUGGCUAAUGGGACAUGGGAGAUCACCGACCGUCCCUAUGGUUGCAAACCACUGGGAUGUAAGUGGGUGUUCAAGAAAAAGCUUAGGCCCGAUGGUACGAUUGAAAAGUACAAGGCUAGACUUGUGGCCAAGGGCUAUGACCAGAAAGAAGAGGAAGAUUUCUUCGAUACUUAUUCACCUGUGGCUAGACUGACCACCAUUCGAGUAUUACUCUCGUUGGCGGCCUCACAUGGUCUUCUCGUCCACCAAAUGGAUGUCAAGACGGCUUUUCUGAAUGGAGAGCUAAAUGAGGAAAUCUACAUGCAACAGCCAGAUGGCUUUGUGAUAGAUGGUCAGGAAAGAAAGGUGUGUAGGUUGCUGAAAUCUCUAUAUGGCCUAAAGCAAGCACCUAAGCAAUGGCAUGAUAAGUUUAAUACAACUCUGACAUCUGUUGGCUUCGUUGUUAAUGAAGCUGACAAAUGUGUAUACUAUCGCCAUGGUGGGGGCGAAGGAGUUAUACUGUGCUUGUAUGUUGAUGACAUACUGAUAUUCGGAACCAACCUCAAAGUCAUUGAGGAGGUUAAGUCCUUUCUGUCUCAGAACUUUGAGAUGAAGGAUCUUGGUGUGGCUGAUGUUAUCUUGAAUAUCAAGCUACUGAGAGAUAAUGAGGGUGGGAUCACACUUCUGCAAUCCCAUUAUGUUGAGAAGGUGUUGAGUCGCUUUGGAUAUUCGGACUGCACACCAUCUCAAACACCAUAUGAUCCUAGCGUGUUGAUUCGAAAGUCCAAAGGCAUGGCUAAAGAUCAAUUGAGAUACUCUCAAAUCAUUGGUUCACUGAUGUACCUAGCGAGCGCAACGAGGCCUGACAUCGCGUUUGCUGUGAGCAAACUGAGCCGGUUUGUUUCCAAACCGGGUGAUGUACAUUGGCAUGCUGUAGAAAGAGUUAUGCGCUAUCUCAAAGGUACUAUGAAUUAUGGACUUCACUAUACCGGAGACCCGUCGGUACUUGAAGGGUAUAGUGAUGCGAAUUGGAUCUCUGAUGCUGAUGAGAUGAAGGCCACAACUGGGUAUAUGUUUACUCUUGGAGGUGGCGCUGUUUCUUGGAAGUCUUGCAAGCAAACGAUCUUAACGAGAUCGACAAUGGAAGCAGAAUUAACAGCAUUAGACACUUCUGGUGUUGAAGCAGGAUGGCUUCGAGAUCUUUUGAUGGACUUGCCACUGGUUGAUAAACCGGUUCCGGCUAUCCUUAUGAACUGUGAUAAUCAGACUGUUAUCACCAAGGUGAAGAGUUCAAAGGACAACAUGAAGUCCAACAAACACAUAAGAAUGAGAUUAAAGGCUGUCAGAAAAUUAAGAAACUCCGGAGUGAUAGCGUUGGACUAUGUCCAUACGGCUAAGAAUCUGGCAGAUCCCUUUACGAAAGGGCUAUCACGUGUAGUGAUAGAUAGUGCAUCGAGGGAGAUGGGUAUGAGACCCACAUGA
rnacentral:rRNA from 1 species